rnacentral:rRNA from 1 species
GAUGAACGCUGGCGGAGGGAAGAAUAGAGGCAAGUCGAGCGAACAGACGAGGAGCUUGCUCCUCUGACGUUAGCGGCGGACGGGUGAGUAACACGUGGAUAACCUACCUAUAAGACUGGGAUAACUUCGGGAAACCGGAGCUAAUACCGGAUAAUAUAUUGAACCGCAUGGUUCAAUAGUGAAAGACGGUUUUGCUGUCACUUAUAGAUGGAUCCGCGCCGCAUUAGCUAGUUGGUAAGGUAACGGCUUACCAAGGCAACGAUGCGUAGCCGACCUGAGAGGGUGCUCGGCCACACUGGAACUGAGACACGGUCCAGACUCCUACGGGAGGCAGCAGUAGGGAAUCUUCCGCAAUGGGCGAAAGCCUGACGGAGCAACGCCGCGUGAGUGAUGAAGGUCUUCGGAUCGUAACCCUCUGUUAUUAGGGAAGAACAAAUGUGUAAGUAACUAUGCACGUCUUGACGGUACCUAAUCAGAAAGCCCCGGCUCCCUACGUC